rnacentral:siRNA from 1 species
AUAAGAAUAAGAGAGGAGACUC